rnacentral:rRNA from 1 species
UACGAAGGGGGCUAGCGUUGUUCGGAAUCACUGGGCGUAAAGGGCGCGUAGGCGGCUAUUCAAGUCGGGGGUGAAAGCCUGUGGCUCAACCACAGAAUUGCCUUCGAUACUGUUUGGCUUGAGACCGGAAGAGGUUAGUGGAACUGCGAGUGUAGAGGUGAAAUUCGUAGAUAUUCGCAAGAACACCAGUGGCGAAGGCGGCUGACUGGUCCGGUUCUGACGCUGAGGCGCGAAAGCGUGGGGAGCAAACAGGG